CGUUGGAUGAACCGUCACCGAAGUUGAUCGUCGCCGUGCCGGUCGGAGCCGGCACUCCCGACGCGCCAGGGACCGUCACUGAGAAUGUUGACGCCUGGCCCACGACAGCGGGCGACGGCGUGAUGUUCAGACCAGGCGAACUGGUGACCUUGUUGACGGUCUGCGUCAUGCUGGCCGAGCUUGCGACAUAGUUGGUGCUGUCGCCGCUAUAGUUCGCGGUCACGGUCUUGUUGCCCGCUGUCGCAUAGGUAUGACUGAUGGAUGCCGUACCGCCGCUGAGCGUGACGGG
rnacentral:misc_RNA from 1 species